AUCUCUUCUAAUCCUGCUUUACCAACUUUUCCAUUAUUCUUCAUAUAAACUUCAUAAAAUGGUUGCAUUGCAGUUCUAAAUGGAUCUAAAUUAGGAUUUGUAACUGUAACUCCUUGU
rfam:Cetobacterium somerae ATCC BAA-474 genomic scaffold Scaffold3, whole genome shotgun sequence.